rnacentral:rRNA from 1 species
UACGUAGGGGGCAAGCGUUAUCCGGAUUUACUGGGUGUAAAGGGAGCGUAGACGGCUGUGCAAGCCAGAUGUGAACGCCCGGGGCUCAACCCCGGGACUGCAUUUGGAACUGUGUAGCUGGAGUGUCGGAGAGGCAGGCGGAAUUCCUAGUGUAGCGGUGAAAUGCGUAGAUAUUAGGAGGAACACCAGUGGCGAAGGCGGCCUGCUGGACGAUGACUGACGUUGAGGCUCGAAAGCGUGGGGAGCAAACAGG